rnacentral:lncRNA from 1 species
GAUCAUUUGGUUUUAGAUUGAGUGAAAAAAAAAUCAAUAAUAGUUGUAUCCUAAAUUAGCAGCUUCAGAACCAUGUUGGUUGAUUGUACACUGACUGUAAUAGGAAGAAUAAUAUCUUUUUCGUUCCUUUCAGGGAAGAACAGCAUAUUAGUGUAUACUUCUGUAAUGUUACUCUACCACACAUGUGUCAAACACAAGGCCCGCGGGCCAAAUGUGGCCCGCCACGUCUUUUUAUGUGGCCCGCGAGAGCUUGUAAGAUCUUAGUGUCUAUAAUAAAUAGGUCAGAAGCGUCCUUUGACCAAAAAAUACAUUUCCCACAAUGCUUGUCGAUUGUAUUACCCGCAAAGUUACGGCUUACUGCCACUACACGGCAGUGUAGUCAUUGAUGUGGAAACCCUGCCGGAGGGAAGGUGUAACUUCGCGGGUGGAAUUGAGACAUAUAAAUGUUUAUCCCAUAAUGUCCAGAAAAAGAGAAGUUGAUGCAGACGGACGGCUGUGCUUCAAGGCGAAAGACCGGUAUGCCUUUUGUGUUACGAAGAGUGUUACUGUGUGUCCACUAAACUCCGUAGUUAUAAACAUCCUGAGGUUAGCAGCGCGAUAACUGACCUGUUUAUAAUGUAAUCCCAGCAGUGACUCAUGCUCUAAACGGCUGCUGUUAGCUGAUUGGGCUGAAAGAUGAACUGUAGAGAGCUGUAUUAUUCGGUUACAAAAAUCUUUAUUUCAUACACAGAAGAACUUAAAAAUUUUAAAAACGCUCCAGACUGGCUGAGCUGAGCCCUGUAGCCCGUGGCUGGGCUGUAGCUCUGACUCAGUAAAGACUGCGGACUUGUGGUGCUGCUGCUGCAGCUCCCACUAGUGGUUGGAUGAGGAACUGCUAAAUCUGAGGAAAUGCUAUGUUCUUAACAGCUCACAAUUUUUGAUUUUAUAUUUAUUAAGCCUUAUUUCAGUUAAUAAUUUCAAAGUUAAUAUAACUUGAUGUCAUUUCUAUUCACUUGAAUAGUUUGGUUCUUGAUUGAUGGAGUUUUUGGAUUUCAUGACAUGACAAAUUAAAAGGAUUUAUGUUAAUAGAGCAACAAGCAAACAUUUUUUCCAUGCAACUGUAAUAUUUGAUUGAAUAAAUAAUAUAUUGAGAGUUAUUUAACA